AAGACUAUGCUUUCAGGGAUCAUUUCUACAGUUUGUUACUAGAGAAGUUUCUCUGUGUAGAAUACCCGAAACCAGGAGGAGGGGGAAACAGUGUCCCUUGGUGAGUGAGAAGCUGACUCUGGGUGUUCUUUUUGCAACUGUGCUUUGUCAUUGAUUAUUGUUCUUCUUGUCCUUCAGAGAAGCUAGAGGGAAGGGAUGCCGUCUGAGU